GCCCAGUUAGCUUGGAGGGUGGCUGCCUUAUAAGUGCUAGGUCGCGGGUUCGAUUCCCGCCCGGGGCG
rfam:Asian citrus Psyllid, Diaphorina citri - Florida Strain, whole genome shotgun sequence.